rnacentral:piRNA from 1 species
UGAUCCAAGGAGCCUGGGACCUAUGUA